CCAAAAAUCAAACUUAGUAGUCAUAACAAUUAAUACAAAUAAAUAUCCAAAAAUCAAACUUAGUAGUCAUACAUAACAUAAAACAUAAAAAUUAAUAUACAUAAACAUAAGCAUAACUAAAUGAUGAUGAUGAUUCCGAUGCACGCUUAAGCAUGAACAAUGUUCGCUUCCUCCUCAACAAAGUCAUACUCAUCACCUACAACAUUCAAAUUAGUGUAGUUAGAUUUAUCACCUACAAAGCUACAGAUUCAAUAUGCAAAUAAAACAUAUAAUUUUUACCUAUUUCUUGAAAACCCCCAAAUAAAAUAUGCAACUUGCAUCGACGCCCAAGAAUCACAAGAAAUAGCUCAAGC
rnacentral:lncRNA from 1 species